CCCUUAGAUGUUCUGGGCCGCACGCGUGCUACACUGAGUGGAUCAGCGGGUCAGGUUGCGCGAAAGUGUUUCCUAAUCUUGAAAUCCGCUCGUGAUGGGGAUUGACGGUUGCAAUUUUCCGUCAUGAACGAGGAAUACCUUGUAAGCGCGGGUCAUCAUCCCGCGCUGAAUACGUCCCUGCCCUUUGUACACACCGCCCGUCGCUCCUACCGAUUGAGUGGUCCGGUGAGGCUUUGGGAUCUGAGCGAAGAGAGCGUUUCGCUCGUUUUGCCCGGAAAACUCAGUCGAACCUUAUCAUUUAGAGGAAGGAGAAGUCGUAACA
rnacentral:rRNA from 1 species